UACGGAGGGUGCAAGCGUUAUCCGGAAUCAUUGGGUUUAAAGGGUUCGUAGGUGGAACUAUAAGUCAGUGGUGAAAGCCUGUGGCUUAACCAUAGAAUUGCCAUUGAUACUGUAGUUCUUGAGUACACUUGAAGUGGGCGGAAUGUGUCAUGUAGCGGUGAAAUGCAUAGAUAUGACACAGAACACCGAUUGCGAAGGCAGCUCACUAAAAUGUAACUGACACUGAGGAACGAAAGCGUGGGGAGCGAACAGG
rnacentral:rRNA from 1 species